rnacentral:rRNA from 1 species
UACGUAGGGCGCAAGCGUUGUCCGGAAUUAUUGGGCGUAAAGAGCUCGUAGGCGGUUUGUCGCGUCGGCUGUGAAAUCCUGGGGCUUAACUCCGGGCCUGCAGUCGAUACGGGCAGACUUGAGUAUGGUAGGGGAGACUGGAAUUCCUGGUGUAGCGGUGAAAUGCGCAGAUAUCAGGAGGAACACCGGUGGCGAAGGCGGGUCUCUGGGCCAUUACUGACGCUGAGGAGCGAAAGCGUGGGGAGCGAACAGG